rnacentral:tRNA from 1 species
ACUUGGCUGGCUCAGUUGGUAGAGCAUGAGACUCUUGAUCUUGGGGUCUUGAGUUCAAGCCCCAUGUUGGGCA